GUGGCUCAGAAAAGGUAGAAAAACUCUGAUCUAAGAUAGCACAAGGGUUAAAGAAGAAAUAAAAAUAACAUUUGAACUAUUUUUCUACUCAAAUAAAUUAGAACAUUAUUUCAAUACUUUAUGUAUGUUUUUCUCUUUAGAUACAAACAGCUUUGAUGUCCUUCAGAUAAUAAUAAAUAUGGAGUUAAUAAUAACAAUGAUAAUAUUAUUAAUAAUAACAGUUCUUUACUCGGAUUUUGGUGGGAUUUCCAUCAAACCUUCAUCAGAAGUUUUCUCGGUUUUGAUUUUUUUCUUCCUGUCAGUAAAACCCCAACAGACUCAGAGAGAGAACCACCGACCGUUAGACGGGACAUUCCGGUUUCACAGCAUCCUGCCCAUCAUCAGUGGGGUCGCGACCUUCAAAGUGAAUGUCCAGAUCACAGACAGGCCUGAUGCCUUGCUCAAAGGACGCAGCGCUGGGCCGGCGUUUGUUGGAGGCGGAGGAGCUGACCUAUUUUAAAGUGCUGCAGUCUCAUCCCGAUAAGAACGGCGAGCAUCUCCCCGCCGGAUUACAGCCCCCCCCCACACCCACAACAGCAACCAUCCCGCCGUGUGACUGGCUGCUGGCAGCGCCGCGAUUUCACGCGCCGAUACACCUGUUAGGAGCUUCUGAAGCCCAGCGUCACGCAGACCAGAAACCCGGGAGGAGAACUCAGAGAACCGGCUCAGAGGAGACGCUCCGCCCCCGACGAGGCGGCGGCAGAUGAUGUCAUCCUAAGAUGGAACCACUUCAUUCAUCCAAAUAAAUCAAAUGGAACUUUUGGCCGGUACAUUUUCAAAAUGAAAAGUCCAAGAAGAACAUUUCCGAGCACAGAGCCGUUUGUCAACAACCAGCGGAUGUCUGCUGGAGCCGAGCCGAGGAGGAGCUGCAGCGGAGGAGGUGCAGAGGGGCCUGCUGCUCCUCAAAGUGAUGGAGACGUGACGGCUGGGAGGAGAUCGACCCUGUCUAGCAGCUUCACGGAAAAGCAGAAGAACGUUUGGGAAACGUGAAAAAACAGGAGCGCAGAGGAGACGCCUCGCCUCCUGCAUGUGUGGGAGGAGCUAUGGGUCGUUCAGGUGGUUCAGAAUCUGGCUCUGUUAGUCGUGAAGAAGAGGAUGACAGGCCAGGCGCCAAACUUUCAACCUUUCGCUUUCCUCAGGGAAUGCAUUUGUGGGCGGGGCUAAUCAGUUAAAUGGCUGUCAGGUUUUUGAUGAGGUGGGCCAAACCGAUCAGAGCGUGGGGGGGGGGGCUCUCCAUCACUCAGCAUCUGUGGAGUGAAGAAAGGUUUGCUUCUGUGGGCGGAGAAGCUGCAGCAGCGUUUCCAUCAGUCCAGGUGAGACGACCUUUCCACCAAUCAGAGAGCGGUGCUCCCACUUCAGCUUUCUGUGGGCAUAAAGUUCACGGGAAGUUUGAGUGACACCGGCAGAGCUGAAGCGUCUGCACCCGGUCUCACUCUGUGCUGCUCCAGGGCUCUGUGGCAGCCUCCGAGGGAAACGGUAACCAUGACGACAGGUAACCACUAACAACCAGCAUCCCUAACAACCGCUGCUCAGCAAACGAGCUCUCUGAUUACAGGACUGCUGCAGGAGACGACGGGCUUUCCUGAAGAUGAGCUGCAGAUGAAGAUGAUGAUGAAGCAGCAUCGGCUUCUGCUGAUGAAGAGUCAGAACCAGCAGAAAUCCUCCUCUUCCUCCUGCAGCUUCUAAGCACCCAGAUGAGGUGAUGAUGACGAUGAUGAAGAUUCACAGAAUUCCCAACAUCUCUGCCUUCUGAGCUGAAACACAACCUUUUGAGGUGUGGAUGAUGUCAGAGAGGGGGGUCUGUUCCGGUUCUUUUUUUUUUUUUUUUUAAC